GACGAACGCUGGCGGCGUGCUUAACACAUGCAAGUCGAACGCUGAAGCUCAGCUUUUGUUGGGUGGAUGAGUGGCGAACGGGUGAGUAACACGUGAGUAACCUGCCCCCUUCUUUGGGAUAACGCCCGGAAACGGGUGCUAAUACUGGAUAUUCACUGGUCUUCGCAUGGGGGUUGGUGGAAAGGGUUUUUCUGGUGGGGAUGGGCUCGCGGCCUAUCAGCUUGUUGGUGGGGUGAUGGCCUACCAAGGCUUUGACGGGUAGCCGGCCUGAGAGGGUGACCGGUCACAUUGGGACUGAGAUACGGCCCAGACUCCUACGGGAGGCAGCAGCGGGGAAUAUUGCACAAUGGGCGCAAGCCUGAUGCAGCGACGCCGCGUGAGGGAUGGAGGCCUUCGGGUUGUGAACCUCUUUCGCUCAUGGUCAAGCCGCAACAAUGGUUGUGGUGAGGGUAGUGGGUAAAGAAGCGCCGGCUAACUACGUG
rnacentral:rRNA from 1 species